AUUUCAGACUCUUCUGUGUCGAGUGGAGGAGCAACUCUGUGCCCAGCUUAGAGGACUGGAAGAGGCCGCAAUCUUCCGCCUGCUGGAGGGUGGAGGAUGGAUGGAGCCUGGAACCUGGGUCACUACCUCGCUGCAGUUGGUGGUGGCGAUAGAGCAGUAGGAGAGCAUUCGGCAGCAGGAGCUUCUCCUGCUGGGCUGGAGGACUAGAAGGAAGAGGCACUGCCACAUGCUGGAGGCUGGAACCUGUGCCACCAUGGCUCGCCUCGCUGUGGUUGGUGGUGACAUCGGAGACUGCAGCUCAGCCACAGUGGUAGAAAUGUGAUGGUGUAGAUGGAGUCUCGCUCUGUUGUCAAGCUGGAGUGCAGUGGCACGGUGCCAGCUCACUACAACCUCCACUUCCCAGAUUCAAGUGAGUCCCCUGCCUCAGCCUCCCGAGUAUCUGCGACUACAGAUGGUUUCCUAGAAACAUGAUUGUUUAUUGGCGUUGAUCUCGCAGUCUGGUGAGAACUUCUUUACUGAUAAUGUCAAGUUCAGUUUAUCCUCCCAACCAAGGAGCAUUCAGCACAGAACAAAGUCGUUCUCCUCCUCACUCUGUAAAGUAUACGUUUCCCAGCACCCACCACCAGCAGGAUCCAGCAUUUGGAGGCAAACAUGAAGCUCCAUCCUCUCCAAUUUCGGGGCAACCAUGUGGAGAUGAUCAAAAUGCUUUACCUUCAAAACUUUCAAACGAAGAGUUAAUACAAAGUAUGGAUCGUGUAGAUUGAAAAAUUGCAAAAGUAGAACAGCAGAUCCUUAAACUGAAAAAGAAACAAGUAAAAGUCUUUGCCUAAUAUAUUCUAAGAAUGUAUGUUUUUCUCCCUACAGAAGAUAAUUUUGAGUUUUCCAUAUUUUGAAACUUUACAUAAAAGGAAUCAUGCCUUACGUA
ensembl:lncRNA novel transcript